AUUGAACGCUGGCGGCAGGCCUAACACAUGCAAGUCGGACGGUAGCACAGAGGAGCUUGCUCUCGGGUGACGAGUGGCGGACGGGUGAGUAACGUCUGGGAAACUGCCCGAUGGAGGGGGAUAACUACUGGAAACGGUAGCUAAUACCGCAUAACGUCGCAAGACCAAAGUGGGGGACCUUCGGGCCUCACACCAUCGGAUGUGCCCAGAUGGGAUUAGCUAGUAGGUGGGGUAAUGGCUCACCUAGGCGACGAUCCCUAGCUGGUCUGAGAGGAUCGCCAGCCACACUGGAACUAAGACACGGUCCAGACGCCUACGGGAGGCAGCAGUGGGGAAUAUUGCACAAUGGGCGCAAGUCUGAUGCAGCCAUGCCGCGUGUAUGAAGAAGGCCUUCGGGUUGUAAAGUACUUUCAGCGGGGAGGAAGGCGGUGAAGUUAAUAGCUUAACCGAUUGACGUUACCCGCAGAAGAAGCACCGGCUAACUCCGUGCCAGCCGCCGCGGUAA
rnacentral:rRNA from 1 species